GAACGAAAUCUUUCGGGAUUUAGUGGCGGACGGGUGAGUAACGCGUGAGAAUCUGGCUUCAGGUUUGGGACAACCACUGGAAACGGUGGCUAAUACCGGAUGUGCCGCAAGGUGAAAGGCUUGCCGCCUGAAGAUGAGCUCGCGUCUGAUUAGCUAGUAGGUGGGGUAAAAGCCUACCUAGGCGACGAUCAGUAGCUGGUCUGAGAGGAUGAUCAGCCACACUGGGACUGAGACACGGCCCAGACUCCUACGGGAGGCAGCAGUGGGGAAUUUUCCGCAAUGGGCGAAAGCCUGACGGAGCAAUACCGCGUGAGGGAGGAAGGCUCUUGGGUUGUAAACCUCUUUUCUCAGGGAAGAAAAAAAUGACGGUACCUGAGGAAUAAGCAUCGGCUAACUCCGUGCCAGCAGCCGCGGUAAUACGGAGGAUGCAAGCGUUAUCCGGAAUGAUUGGGCGUAAAGCGUCCGCAGGUGGCUGUGUGUGUCUGCUGUUAAAGAGUCAUGCUUAACAUGAUAAAGGCAGUGGAAACUACACGGCUAGAGUGCGUUCGGGGCAGAGGGAAUUCCUGGUGUAGCGGUGAAAUGCGUAGAGAUCAGGAAGAACACCGGUGGCGAAAGCGCUCUGCUAGGCCGCAACUGACACUGAGGGACGAAAGCUAGGGGAGCGAAUGGGAUUAGAUACCCCAGUAGUCCUAGCCGUAAACGAUGGAUACUANGCGUGGCUUGUAUCGACCCGAGCCGUGCCGA
rnacentral:rRNA from 1 species